AGUGAACGCUGGCGGUAGGCCUAACACAUGCAAGUCGAACGGAAGCACAGUAAGCGCUUGCUCUUACGGGUGGCGAGUGGCGGACGGGUGAGGCAUACAUCGGCAUCUAAUUUUUCGUGGGGGAUAACGUAGGGAAACUUACGCUACUACCGCAUAUGUCCUACGGCUGAAAGCAGGAGAUCUUCGGACCUUGCGCGACUGAAUGAGCUGAUGUCGGAUUAGCUAGUUGGCGGGGUAAAGGCCCACCAAGGCGACGAUCCGUAGCUGGUCUGAGAGGAUGAUCAGCCACACUGGAACUGAGACACGGUCCAGACUCCUACGGGAGGCAGCAGUAGGGAAUAUUCGGCAAUGGGCGCAAGCCUGAUCCAGCCACGCCGCGUGAGUGAAGAAGGCCUUCGGGUUGUAAAGCCCUGUUGUUGGGAAAGAAAAACAGCAGGUGAAUACCCCGCUGUUCUGACGGUACCCAAAGAGUAAGCACCGGCUAACUUCGUG
rnacentral:rRNA from 1 species